rnacentral:rRNA from 1 species
UGGGGAAUUUUCCGCAAUGGGCGAAAGCCUGACGGAGCAAUACCGCGUGAGGGAGGAAGGCUUUUGGGUCGUAAACCUCUUUUCUCUGGGAAGAAGUACUGACGGUACCAGAGGAAUCAGCAUCGGCUAACUCCGUGCCAGCAGCCGCGGUAAUACGGAGGAUGCAAGCGUUAUCCGGAAUUAUUGGGCGUAAAGCGUCCGCAGGUGGCUUAUCAAGUCUGCUGUUAAAGCGUGGAGCUUAACUCCAUAUCGGCAGUGGAAACUGGUCGACUAGAGUUCGGUAGGGGUAGCGGGAAUUCCCAGUGUAGCGGUGAAAUGCGUAGAUAUUGGGAAGAACACCAGCGGCGAAAGCGCGCUACUGGGCCGAGACUGACACUG